GAUGAACGCUGGCGGCGUGCCUAAUACAUGCAAGUCGAGCGAACAGACGAGGAGCUUGCUCCUCUGACGUUAGCGGCGGACGGGUGAGUAACACGUGGAUAACCUACCUAUAAGACUGGGAUAACUUCGGGAAACCGGAGCUAAUACCGGAUAAUAUAUUGAACCGCAUGGUUCAAUAGUGAAAGACGGUUUUGCUGUCACUUAUAGAUGGAUCCGCGCCGCAUUAGCUAGUUGGUAAGGUAACGGCUUACCAAGGCAACGAUGCGUAGCCGACCUGAGAGGGUGAUCGGCCACACUGGAACUGAGACACGGUCCAGACUCCUACGGGAGGCAGCAGUAGGGAAUCUUCCGCAAUGGGCGAAAGCUUGACGGAGCAACGCCGCGUGAGUGAUGAAGGUCUUCGGAUCGUAAAACUCUGUUAUUAGGGAAGAACAAAUGUGUAAGUAACUAUGCACGUCUUGACGGUACCUAAUCAGAAAGCUACGGCUAACUACGU
rnacentral:rRNA from 1 species